GACGCGGAAAGAACAAGAUUACACUGGAUGAUAUUCCAGAUUAUACUCAGUGACAUCUAUAGUGAAAAGAAAUUUCAGAUAGCAGCUAGUUUAAUACAGAUUAUACUGAGUGAUAUCUGGAUUAUCACUCAGUAUAAUCUGGAUUAUACUAAAUACUAUCUGAAAUUUGUUUUCACUAUAGAUGUCAUUGAGUAUAAUCUGGAAUGUUAUCCAGUGUAAUCUUGUUCUUUACGUGUACGAUUAA